UACGUAGGGGGCUAGCGUUGUCCGGAUUUAUUGGGCGUAAAGAGCGUGUAGGCGGCCAGGUAGGUCUGCUGUGAAAACUCGAGGCUUAACCUCGAGAUGUCGGCGGAAACCAUCUGGCUAGAGUCCGGAAGAGGAGAGUGGAAUUCCUGGUGUAGCGGUGAAAUGCGUAGAGAUCGGCAGGAACACCCAGGGGGAAACCAGUCGACUGGGCAUCUACUGACGCUGAGGUGCGAGAGCGUGGGGAGCGAACCGG
rnacentral:rRNA from 1 species